AUGGGCACCGCACUGCCGCCUUUAGUCCAGGAGGGAACCUGCCUGGGCUCCAUGUCCUCACUGGCCAAUGACCGUCAUGCUGCACCUCCAGGACCAGCUCUCACUGCACACCCUCCUGAGCAACAGAGGAGGUCUUCAGGUCACUGCCUCCGCCACAGUGAGACAGCAGGCUCAGCCACGCUGGACAUCAGGAAGCUCAGGAGAGCCUGCCCUGCCCUCAGCAAGUGCACCUGGACAUCUAGGAAACUGACAGCCCCCUGCAAAUCCACCUUCGGGCCUUGGCUCUAGGGGGUGACCCUUGCACGUCAGGGAAUCAUCAACCUAAUUGCCGUGUGCUUAUUUUACAUUGCACACCUGUACCAAAACAUCUCAUGUACCCCAUAAACAUAUA
rnacentral:lncRNA from 1 species